CGGAACGGGUGAGUAACGCGUGAGGAACCUGCCUCAAAGAGGGGGACAACAGUUGGAAACGGCUGCUAAUACCGCAUAAGCCCACGGCUCGGCAUCGAGCAGAGGGAAAAGGAGCAAUCCGCUUUGAGAUGGCCUCGCGUCCGAUUAGCUAGUUGGUGAGGUAAUGGCCCACCAAGGUAACGAUCGGUAGCCGGACUGAGAGGUUGAACGGCCACAUUGGGACUGAGACACGGCCCAG
rnacentral:rRNA from 1 species